GACGGAGGAUGCAAGCGUUAUCCGGAAUGAUUGGGCGUAAAGCGUCUGCAGGUGGCAGUUCAAGUCUGCUGUCAAAGACCGGGGCUUAACUUCGGAAAGGCAGUGGAAACUGAACAGCUAGAGUAUGGUAGGGGCAGAGGGAAUUCCUGGUGUAGCGGUGAAAUGCGUAGAGAUCAGGAAGAACAUCGGUGGCGAAGGCGCUCUGCUGGACCAUAACUGACACUCAGGGACGAAAGCUAGGGGAGCGAAGUGGG
rnacentral:rRNA from 1 species